rnacentral:rRNA from 1 species
AGCGAACGCUGGCGGCAGGCCUAACACAUGCAACUCGAACGAACUCUUCGGAGUUAGUGGCGGACGGGUGAGUAACACGUGGGAACGUGCCUUUUGGUUCGGAAUAACUCAGGUAAACUUGUGCUAAUACCGAAUGUGCCCUUCGGGGGAAAGAUUUAUCGCCAUUAGAGCGGCCCGCGUCUGAUUAGCUAGUUGGUGAGGUAACGGCUCACCAAGGCGACGAUCAGUAGCUGGUCUGAGAGGAUGACCAGCCACACUGGGACUGAGACACGGCCCAGACUCCUACGGGAAGCAGCAGUGGGGAAUAUUGCGCAAUGGGCGAAAGCCUGACGCAGCCAUGCCGCGUGAAUGAUGAAGGGCUUAGGAUUGUAAAAUUCUUUCACCGGGGACGAUAAUGACGGUACCCGGAGAAGAAGCCCCGGCUAACUUCGUG